GACGAACACUGGCGGCGUGCCUAAUACAUGCAAGUCGACCUUAGUGGCGAACGGGUGAGUAACACGUGGGUAACCUGCCCAUCCGCAGGGGAUACCACUUGGAAACAGGUGCUAAUACCAUAUACUGAUGGAUGGACCCGCGGUGCAUUAGCUAGUUGGGGUGGUAACGGCGAACCAAGGCCACGAUGCAUAGCGGACCGGAGAGGAUGACCAGCCACACUGGAACUGAGACACGGUCCAGACUCCUACGGGAGGCAGCAGUGGGGAAUAUUGCACAAUGGGCGCAAGCCUGAUGCAGCCAUGCCGCGUGUAUGAAGAAGGCCUUCGGGUUGUAAAGUACUUUCAGCGGGGAGGCGUUACCCGCAGAAGAAGCACCGGCUAACUCCGUGCCAGCAGCCGCGGUAAUAC
rnacentral:rRNA from 1 species